AUACCAUUCUACGAAAAUUCACCAAAAAUGUCGGCAAUUACUACUUUUCAUCCUCUCACAAAACUCAGCCUUUCAAGAAUAACUGGUGAGUUCAAGUUAAGUGCUUACAUUCCUGGAGGCAGAAUACCCUUUUUGGAGAUACCUUUGAGAUGGUUUUAGCAGACCAAUGGUUCUAUUUUGGUAGGGAAAAAAAUCCAGGCCUGUUGCAAAAGGACACACAUGUACCAUGUUCAAAUCAGUAGAUCUGUAGAUUAGGAGAAACCUUCGCUUGCCAUGAUCUUCACAGUAAUCAGUAGAUCUAUCUUCUGUAAUACUUUUAGUGAAAAAACUAGAGGCGUUUAAGAAUAUAUCGCCAGAACAACAUACAUGGCCGACGAUUAGAUCGGUGGAAGAUACGGAUGUGAAAGGGAAAGUAAAAAGACACCAAAAGCCAGUCGUUUUCUAUUUUUUUUCCGGGAAAAAAUAUUAUAUGGGCAUUGAUUUGUGUUUCAGGUCUACUAAUAUUUGGGUUACAAAUGAUACUCAUUUUAAUAUCAUAACCAAAAGGACCCAAUCAAUUUAUAUAAUUAGGCUUUGUUAAUAUAAUUGCUAUAUAUAUAUUUUUAAUAUAUUUUGGAGUUACUUUU